rnacentral:misc_RNA from 1 species
UUGAAUAAACUUGAACAGGCUGUUGCUGGUCCUCUCUGGGGCAUGUGCACGCUUGCUCAUCUCUAUUCCUCCCAAACUUGUGCACCUCAUUGUAGACCCUGGAGGCAGAGGACUGCUUUUUCAGGUCUAUGUUCUUAUAAAUCUCAGAAUGUAUGAAAGACAAAAGUGUUAUAAUACAAAUAUAUAUA